GCCAUGAUGACUGAGUGGUUAAGGUAUUGGACUUGAAAUCCCGUGGGGUUUCCCUGUGCAGGUUCAAAUCCUGCUCACAGUAAAGGCU